AGUAAGCUGUUGGAAGUGUGAGCGAAGUAAUGUUUUUCGUUGUUGUAAAGCAGGCGAUUGAGAAUGAUAGUUUUGAAGUACGUUUGGCUGGUGGACGUCGUACAUUUCAUUGCGAUUCUUGUACGGGCAGUUAUGGAUUAAUUAUGUCUAUUCGGGCUUCACAACAUACGUGCUUGCGGAGCAAGCUGUGAGCAGCAAGGCGCAAGCACGGAGCAGCGCGAGCACGCUACCCCCACUACCGGACCAGAGCGGAGAGUGGGGAGAGUCACGUGGGGCACACAACAGCUGCCGCCAGUCAAUGUAAAUCUGCAGCCACCUGCAGGGAUAUCACUCACGAAUUAUUACUGCGACAAAUGAAACAAAUAAAGGAGAAUGUACACAUGCCACAUAAUUUUAUUAGCUUAGUGUAUACCUCUACAUUCGCAUUAAUUUGUGAACUGUUACACAAUAAAAGGUGUCACUGAAGUGUGGGAUUCUCGGUUAUCUUACUUUUCGCUCUUUACAAUUGCGUCUAUGUUCGGAGUAAUUGUUCUUGUGCAUUUUAGGCGCAGCGUGCAGUUUAAAUUUUGAUCAAACAAUGCGUUUCUCAGGCGCGUCUUGUUACAUUUCACUGCAGAGAACAGUGGUUCACAAACAUACGUGGAACCGAACACUGAUAUUAUUGUAGCCGCCAGUUUGUAUAAACGAGGAAAUCUAUCCUGAGGGAAGUGUCUGUAGAAUUCCAAAAUGUUUUUCUUGUUCUGAAAUUUGUCUGUAUUCUCUGUCACACUGCAGGUCAAUAAUUUCUUGCUGCAGCUCAGGACGAAUCUCUUAAAUAUUCGCUGAAUAUGGAGAGAACAGAUCUUGAAAGUGCUGAUCAACUAAACUAUGUGAAUAACGUUCACAGUCUUUGUGAACAUCUUGCAUGGAUGAUAAUUUAGGAAAAUGAGCUAGGUUUCCUGUUUCCAGCUGACUCACCCAAAGUGUCAAUUUCAUUUUAAAAGCUCGUAUUCGAUCUAUGAAAUGAGUAAUUAGCAGAUCUUUACCUUAUAGUAAAAUGUUCAAAGCAUUCAGAUGGCUAGUUAAAUCUGCUAAGAACGCGAGAUCACAUUCAAACGUGCGCGCGGAUUUCCCCUCCCUCCCUACUCCGAGACCUUGCACCUGCUCGCGAGCACGUGCCUGAGCAGACGCGAGUACUCGCGCUCAAAACUGGCCAGUUGUUAAGCCCUGCUCUAACAUAACAAAAUAUGUUUGCUUCAUUUUUUCAGUUUAAUUUUAUUGAAAAUUAUGUCAGUAACUUUGUGUUUUUCAGUUACUUCAGACAUUUGGGGUGUAAAAAAAAAAAUACCUUUAAGUUCAGUGCAUUAAUCCCAUUGUGAUGAAUAAAUUAAGGUCAGUCAAUAAACAGUAGUUUCAUCUAAACAG